rnacentral:lncRNA from 1 species
UGCAACCAUUUUUUACCUUCCUUUGACUUCAGAGAUUAGAAGAUGAAAGCAGAGCAGAAAGAUAAUCUCUGCCAUUCUCCCUAACUUCUUAAAACCCAUGCUUGUCUCUCUUCCAACCAAAUAGAAGGUAACACUUGGCAACCAUAUUUUACACUCUUACCUCCUCUAAUUCAUUUGACCUUCAAUGGUUCACCUUCUUUGAAGAGUCCCGUCUGAAAACAAAAUGAUUCACAUAGACAACUCAAAGUCAUUUUUAGCUAAAUAGGCUCCAUAAAUCUCUACAUCUUAAGGGAUGUGUAAAUUUUCUUUUGAAUACUUAGGUAAAAACAUUUGAGCAUGAAAAAAAUUGUGUUUACAACCAGAAUUUUCCCACACAUAAUUAAUACAGAUGAAAUUAAAUAUUUUUUAUUUUCAAAGUUGUGAUGAUCACAUGUGAAAAUUCAUUGCAAAUUGCAAUGCAUGAGAAACACAUAAGGUGUUUCAAUGUUCAACUUCCCUAAAUAUGACAGAGUAAAUAUUCUGAAGGGCUCCCAUUCUAAAAUUCAACCCAAUCCUGUACAAACGAUAGCAAAUAUAAUUUUAGUUUGUUACUAGACUUUAUAGAAACAUAGAAAAAUCUCAAAGAGAAGGGGGAAAAAAGGCAGCAAGUUGAAACUACUGUUGGGAACUUGGGCAGUAAGUAAACACAAAAGGAUUUCCCUGAUUGAAAGUGUAAAAAUUCUGCCAUUGGAAAACUGAUCUUUGGCCCUCAUUAAAGUGCUGAACCUGAAAUCCCAGAAUUAUUCCAGGAUGUUCAAAGGCAGUUGAAGUGUUUCCAGUUCAGUAAUUCUCCCUAGCUCCAAGUAGAUACAAAGAAAAUUCCUCUUCGGAAAAACGCCCCCCCCCCAUAUAUUGGGUCCUCAGAAGUUCCACACAUUAAAGACAACAUAUGAGCUCACAGCCCCAAAAAUAAUUACAAAACCCACAGAAGGAAAUUAGGUCUGAAUAAAAAUAAGCAUAAACAGGAGUUCCCGUUGUGGCUCAGGGGUUAACAAAUCCGACUAGAAACCAUGAGGUUGCGGGUUCGAUCCCUGGCCUUGCUCAGUGGAUUAAGGAUCCGGCUUGCCGUGAGCUGUGGUAGGUCGGCUCACAUCCCACAAUGCUAUGGCUCUGGCAUUGGGCAUCAGCUGUAGCUCCAAUUAGACCCCUAGCCUGGGAAUCUCCAUAUGCCUCAGGCAUGGCCCUAGAAAAGACAAAAAGACCAAAAAAUAAAAUAAAAAAUAAAAAAAUAAGCAUAAGCACAAAAACAUAGCUGACUCCCAAGCAUCUUAAAUAUUCUCAAAAGCAGAAUUUAAAAUAGCUAUUAUAAAAUGCUUAAAGAAAUACAAGAAUUUUAACAGUGAACCAGCAACUGAAAGAUAUUAAAAAUGAUCUAAUAGGUUUUUAAAGGGCCAAAAAUGCUUUUAGAAAAGUACAAUAUUUGCAGUUAAAAUGUAAUGGAUGGGAUGAAUAGCAAGUUAGUCAUAGCUAAAAAAAACUCUGAACUGAAACAUGGUGCUGAAGAAAUUUUCUCAGUUACAGCACAAGAAAAUGAAAAGAUGAAAACAAAAGUUCAAGACGUGGGCAAGAGAGGAACACACAUCCAAUCAGAGUACCAGAGGAAAGAACAGAGGGAAUGGAAGAGAAGAAAUAUUGAACAGAAAAUGGCUUGAAUUUUCUAGAAUUGACGAAGAAAUAUGCAUCUUCAGAAAUAAGAAGUAUAAUAUACCCUAAGCAGGACAAAUGAAAAUAAAUCCACAAACACAUUACGGUGAAAUGUGGACCACCAAAGGCAAUAAGAAAAUCUUAAAGACAUUCGAAGAAUGGAAAAACAAAUCACCCACAAAGCAAUAGCAAAUAAACAAAGCUAAUUUUCUAAAAGUAACCAUGAACCCUGAAAUUAAUGAAACAGCAUCUUCAAAGUGCUGAGAGAAAAUGAUUGUCAAUCUGGAACAAUAGGAAGCCAAACUGUUUUUCUUUUUUGUUUUCUUUUUUUUUUUUUUUUUUUUUUUUUUUUUNUUUUGUCUUUCUAGGGCUACACCUGAGGCAUGUGGAGGUUCCCAGGCUAGGGGUCCAAUUGGACCUGUAGCCGCCCGCCUAUGACACAGACACAGCAACACCGGAUCCAAGCCGAGUCUGCGACCUACACCACAGCUCACGGCAACACUGGAUCCUUAACCCACUGAGCGAGGCCAGGGAUCAAAGCCGCAAACCCAUGGUUCCUAGUCAGAUUUGCUUCCACUGUGCCACAACAGGAACUCCCAAACUAUCUCUCAUACAAACAAAAAUUGACAAUGUACCACCAGGAGAACGUCAGUAAAGAAAUUCUACAAAAUGUACUUCAGGUCUCAAUGGUUUUUUAUCCAAGACAGGCAUCCUCAGUGAGAUGAUAUCACCCCCUAAGGGGAGAAAAUUCAUUCUUGGUUGGCAAAAAACAAAAUCCUUACUCUUUGUAUAUAUCUUCUCAAGAAAGUUCCAAAUCUUAACAGUGUCAAUUAUUCGAAAAUGAUAUAUAGAUUCACAGCAAAUUCUAAUCUAGGUUUUCAAAGGAACCUAGGUAGCCAAUUCCAAAAUUUGUAUGUGGAAAAGCAAAGUGUCCCAAGAUACUCCUAAACAUUGAAUGUAAGGAACCUGUCCUAUCAAGUAUUGUGACAAUUCAUAAACUAUAGUACUGAAGACAGGGCAAUUUUGGCAGAGGGAUCGACAAACUGACAAAGGAAUAAAGAGCCCAACAGCCCUCCAUAGGUGUGACUAUCAUGCCCUUGCUUGAUCACUGUGUCUUUUGCUUUCAGGUGAAUUCUUUAGUCCCGUUUUGGUCCCUAAGUCAGCAUCUUAGAGAGUAUCUCUCUUCAAUCCAGGGGUCUCAUUAUCUUGGAACACUUUCCUCAAAACAACAUAUUUUCUUCUAACUAUUCUACUGAAAAAUUUCCCAAAGUAUGCUCUCUAGAAUCCAAAUGUUCAGGAUGUUACUGGGUAAUUAGAUUAUUUCAAUCCAUUAUGACAGAAGUUGGAAGAGUUCACUCAAUCGCCCCAUCUUAACUGCCCUGGAGCCUUUAACAUGAUGAUGGGCCUUGAGAAUCUUCCUGAAUGGGAUCCAGUGCCUGAACUCCCACCAUUCCUUCUCCUUACACCAGUGAUCCAGGGCACCGUCUCCUCUCCCUGCAGUGAUAACCAUCAACAGCAGGCCUUCUGUAAAGACUCUAGGGAGCAGCAUCCCCUGGGAUGUUCCCCCACAUGGGAGGCAUUCCCAAACCUGGGCAUGUGAGAACUGGUGACAGGUCACAGAUUCUGUCCUAUCCCAUUUUUCUUUUUCCUUUUUUGGCCUCAGCAUAUGGAGUUCCCCAGCCAGGGAUCAGAUCCGAGCUGCACUUGCAACCUAAGCCACAGCUGCAGCAACACAGGAUCCUUAGCCCACUGUGCAUGGCAGGGGAUCAAACCUGUGUCCCACAACAGACCUCCUGAAGUACAACUGGAGGACUAGUUUUUCUUCUACUUCUCAACUUUCUCUGAUGGGGUUAUAUACAUUUUACGAUAAAAAUUAUUUAGUAUUUUUUAAACUUAAUCUUAGUAUUGAGUUAAGGGCUAUUACCCAAAUAGAGCUCCACAUUAAAUUUCACUAGUAGCCCCCUUAGGAGGUGUUAGCUUGGAAUAGACAGAACAUGGGAUUAAAUUAAAGAAACUGGGUUUUGGUCCCGGCUUCUCCACUCACAUCAAUGUGAGUUUGAGAAGAUUCAAUCAUUGUCAAACCUCAGUUUUCUCAUCUGUAAAUGGGGAUAGUGUGUUGUAAUUCUGCCAUCUGUAUAAACACAUUCAAUCCUCACACCAGCCCUAGGAUGUUGAUGUCAUCUCCAGGUAAUCAUUAUCCUCUUUUUAUGGAAGAGAAGAAUGAGGCACAGAGAGGAUAGGUAACUUGUCCAAGGACACAUAUCCAAGUAGGUGAGCCAGCCUGGAUUUGAACAGACAGAGCUAUUCAGAGCCUACACUCUGGACCACCAUGCUGUGCUGCUUCCUAACUGGGAUUGGACACAAAUUAAAUAAGCCAAUAUACGUCAAGGAUUUGCACUUCCCUGCCCAAGUCCCAGGCUGUAGGUGUCAGGAAGAGAGAGACUAUAUUUCACCAUCUUUUUUUUUUUAAGAUAAACUUCUUUUCAUUUAUUAAAUUUUCUUUGGCCAUGCCCAUGGCAUGCAGAAGUCCCCAGGCCACUGAUCAAACCCUUGCCACAGCAGUGACAUCACUGGAUCCUUAACCCAUUGGGCCACCAGGGAACCCCUAUUUCACCAUCUUGUAUCCUCUUCACUGGGCUUGGUCUCUGACAAUACCCAGUCGAAAUAUUACACUAGUGAAGUACUUCCACGUGGUUAGUAACAAGCCACUGCCUCAAGUCUCUCUCCAAGAUCCCCCCGAUCCCCUCAGAUCCAGCAACUGAGGAGUUAACUCCUGGUGUAGCACAGGGCCCUCCAAGGACACAGGAAGUAACAGCAAACAUUUAUUGAGUGAGUAGAGCUCAGGAAACCAAACCCAAAGUCCUGUCCUCGGUAAACAGUAGAAAUGGGAAUUUAGACCCAGGUCUGCCUGAUUCCAAGGCCCAGGGUCUGUGCUUCAGACAACGAAGCAUCUGCAAGCAUCUGAGGCACUUGAGGUCCAAGAGCCAGAAGACAGCUGGCUGUUUACCGCAGACUCUAGAAUCCACAUGCAAAUUCCCUACCACUCACCUGGGUCACGUGGUCCCCCACUAUCCUGACCUCAUGGCUACCUCUCUCCCCACACUCCAGCUGCAGCGGCUUCUCUCUGCUCCUUGGCCAGACUUGGUUUCUGUGGCUUGAAAAGCUCUUCUUGCAGGAUCUCACCUGGCUCCUCAUCAUUCAGGUCACACUGGAAACAUCCCUCCCAGAGAGGACUUCCCAGACCACCAGCCCUCAGGCUGCUAUUCUCCCAGACACCAUAGCCUGGUCACAAUCAACUGAAGUGUGAAUCACCUUUGGCUUUGUGCUCUUUGUUUUUGCUUCGCUCCCACAUGGCAUGUAAAGCCGUGAAGCCAGGCUCUCUAUUUCACUCUGUAUCCACAGCUUCUAGUAUAUUCCUGAAUAAAUGAAUGAGGAGCAAGUGUAAAUACUCAGGAAGCGAUGCCCAACUGAUUGAAGCAGCCCAAGGCCCAGUAUCUUCAAAAAACAGCAGAAGUCACCCAAGGAAGCCUGACUUGCAGAUUCAUCUUUCCAUCAAUAGAAAGUGAGCCUCCACUACAUGCCAGGCACCAUCCUAAGGUACUGGGGGUACACAGGGGAACAGACAAGAGCGCCUGCCUUCAUGAGGUUUUGCCAGAAUGGGAAUUCAGGCAAUACAUAUAACAUGAGUAAAAUAUAUUACAUGGCUGAUGGUGAUGAGUGCUAAGGACAAAACUGAAAUAUGAAGUAGCAUUAAGAGGCAUAGGGGAGGGGGGAGUGUGAGCUACUAAGGAGUCACUUAAAGAGCUGGAGGCUGGGAGGCAGGGAGCCACAGGGGGAUCUUGGGGGUGGGGAGCAUUUCACACAGAGGAACUGCAAGCACAAAGGCCCUUGUGCAGAUAUACCUGGGAAGAGGUAUCUUUCCAGGAAAAGCAAGAAGACUCAAGUGGGAGUGUCGUGGGAGAUCAGGACACACGGGAAUCCUGAGCCCAACAGCAGCCACUGGAAGGAUAUGAGACGAGGAGAAAUGAGGCUGUUUGAGGCUGCAGCCCAGGCGGAGGGAGGCAGAGUAACUCAGAGGUAGUCAUACACUCAAGAGAGCCUGGUGGCUUGGACCAGAGGAAGGGGGAUGGAGGAGGAAAGACACAGUAGAAUUCUGAGAAUCUGAAGUCAGAUGCUAAAGUCAGAGAAACAGAGGUGGCAAGAAAGAGAAGAAAAAUAAAGGAUCGGCCCAGACGUGUGGAACCUCUUUGUCAGCGAUGACGCAGCCUGGGAGCAAGGAGAGGGUGGGAGAGAGGGGCAGGUCAGCAGGGAAGUUUGGGGUUUGGGGCAGGGACACCAGAGGCCAGCGGGGAGACAGAGCACCAGACGAGAGUAAGGAGAAAGGAGGCUUUUAAAAAGUCUUCCUGGCUGCGGCUAUCUCUGCCCUGGCAAAGUUGUGUCUCUAAAGAAAGCAUCCUUUUGUGAAGGCAAAGCCCCUGACAGUCAAGGCCAGCUUCACGGACAGGCCAUUGACUUGUGCAGUCUCCCAGAAGGGGCCCUGUGCUUGGUUUCACACCCUGCCAUCACUGUCUUAAAAUUCUAGUUUGGGGAAUUUCUGUUGUGGCUCAGCAGUAAUGAAUCCAACUAGUAUCCAUGAGGAUUUGGGCUCAAUCCCUGGCCUCAAUCAGUGGGUUAAGGAUCCGACGUUGUCGUGAGCUGUGGUGUGGGUCAAAGAUGCGACUUGGAUCCUGUAUUGCUGUGGGUGUGGCGUAGGAAGGCAGCUGUAGCUCUGAUUUGACCCCUAGCCUGG